UACAUGCCUCAUUAGUACCUCAGUGUUGUCACCUGUUCCCUGCUCUAUUUAACCAGCAUUGCUCCCUUCACCUCAGUGCCAGAUUGUCACUUGACAUUGGAAUACUCGCCAGCCUUUUUGACCCUGAACCUGGUUUUGGACCAACCUGUUCUCUCACCUUGCCUGUUAUUCUGACCUCUCCCUCUCCCUCUGCCUGCAACCUGAGUGGAUUUCCUACCCGUUUUCCCCAGCCAGUGCCUUAGUGCCUCAUCACGCUGUGCCUCACCUGACCGCUUUCAAAUAAGCUUCCUCCAAAUAAUGCCUCGAAUCAAAACCUAUGCCAAGAAUACCACUAGACAGUCUACUCGCAGCCAUGGCCGUCAUGUAUCAAAAAAGACUUUCUGGUGGAAAUGAAACACAGAGAUCAACUCUGAUAGUCAUUGAAGUCUUCCUGCAUAAAGAGAGGAUGGAUUUCCUCUAUAAAUCGGCAACUCUGGUGAGUAAGAUU